rnacentral:lncRNA from 1 species
AGAGCGGAGGAGCAGCAGCUGCCACCGGCCGGAAGCCUGCUGGCUCGGCCGAGAACAAUGGCCGCCUGUCACUGUGGACAGCUGUCUCCCAGGCUAAGGCAAGGCUGCGCUCCCAGGGAAUGCGGGCAGGGAGCCAGGGCGGAGGGCAGAGGACGAGAGCGAGGAGGAGAGCGCGGGCACCCACUGAUGCUGGCGGCCUCGGCAGGGAGGAAGGACGCCUGUUUCCCUUGGUCCCGGUGAGGCCAGGCCUCAGCUUCCUGCCCACCCGCCACUGCUGCUGGGGCAGGGAGGCAGUUUCCGGCUGUGGGGACCCAGACAAUGCCUGGCCAAGGGCCACCAUCGUCCUCUUCCUGGACACAGCUCCCGCCUCAUCCCAGGGUCUGGCCUGGGACACGCCCUAGAGGCCCUCAGCCCUGAGUCACUGCACCAUGCAGAUCCACCCUGAUUCUGGUCCCUGCAGAGCAGGCUCCUACACAAGGCAAGAAGAUGCUCCAGGGACAAGCCAAGGUGUAUGCAAGGCCCAGGUGCCUGAGAAACACGUCUCACCGACCUUGGGGCAGGGGCUGUUACAAGAGGCUUAUAGUCUAGUGGCAGAGACAAAAACCACACUCAAAUCAUUAGUGUACGGUAUGCACUGCUCAGGGACUCAAAUAUGUGACAGGAGGCUCCAAACAAGAGCGGAGACAAGGCGUAAAUAGCCCCCUGUGGACUGGAUGUUCUGACUCCUGGAUGGCCUCCAGAAGGAUGCCUUUUACGGUCUGUGAAAGAGCUCAGGGACCAAGAUGCUCAAAGCCCUUCAUGCCCAAGAGCCCCUCCUCAGGCUGGGACACGGGAAGCAGAGCUCGGAGGUGGAACUCGUGACUGUGUAUGGGCACAUGUGAGUGCGUGUGUGUGGACAGCCAGGCUUAGUGUAGACAACGUGUGAGGCUCAGACCCCAAGUGCUGACUACACCUAUGCACAUCCACACCUGCGUGUGAAAGAAGAUGCUAGAAAAGAACAAAAAUAACUUAAAAAAUAAAUCCAAUAAGAUGGCUGGAACAUAUAACAACUUCAAAUACUCCAUUUUAGUUCACCAUGUAAGGUGGGUUCCUGGGGGCUGAGGAGACUCGGGAGCUCUGCACCCCUCCUGCUCGCACCCAUCACUAGGUGGCUCACACAGCAGCCGCUCAACAAGUCUGGCUGCUCUCGCAUCAAAACCAAAACCCACUGCCCUCCCCUGCGCCCCCAGCACUGACCCCAACACUUUGGUUCGGGGCCCUCCUGGGCAGGUCACCUGCACUGCCUACUCACUCCUCAGCCCUCCAGGCCCUCCCACCUUGGAUCCUUCCCUGGGACCCUGCUCUGCGCCCUUCUCCCCCUGCCCAGGAACUGAAGGCUGAUGUUGUCACCCCGGUGCUGCGGCCUGUCCGUCUUCAGCACCUGUGCCCCACGCAGGCCCAGCAAACCCCUGGGCUCUGUUGUUCCCCGGGAUGGCUUUUCCAUCUGAUCCCCAGCUUGGGGCUGGCACCGCUUGGCUUUGCCCGGUCACCUCAUGCUUGGGCCAAAGUGCACCAACCCUUCUGUCCCGGGCCUGGCUUUUUGCCUCAAGGCAGCAAUGGCCCCAUGCCACCUCCACGAAGACCCAGUGGCUGCAGAACUCCCUGGUCUGGACUCCCCUGCUCCCUGCAGAGUGCCACCUGCUCCUCUCAAGAAGGCAGAACGUGAGGCCUUUCCUCACCUCCCGUGCAUUGGCACCCCUGCUGGGCCCACUCUGCUCCACCACUGGGGGCUGAUUCACUUUGUGCCACAUAUCUAAAAUAUUUCCUCAAAACAAGCCAAUAACACCCUUUGCGCAUGCCAUGACCUCAUGGAGCGUGGUCACCGGACAUUUCCUCCUGAGCUCUAGGCAGCUGUGGGGGAUGCUGGGUGGCAUAGCCCUUGCAUGUGGCUGACACUUAGCAAUGUUUGUGCCCAUGUUGCACAGGGAGAGCACAAGUCACUGACUCUGCUAGGGCCUGGGGUCAAGGAAAAUAGGCCCUUGGUGGGUGUCAGGA